rnacentral:rRNA from 1 species
GCUCAACCGUGGAGGGUCAUUGGAAACUGGGAAACUUGAGUGCAGAAGAGGAAAGUGGAAUUCCAUGUGUAGCGGUGAAAUGCGCAGAGAUAUGGAGGAACACCAGUGGCGAAGGCGACUUUCUGGUCUGUAACUGACGCUGAUGUGCGAAAGCGUGGGGAUCAAACAGGAUUAGAUACCCUGGUAGUCCACGCCGUAAACGAUGAGUGCUAAGUGUUAGGGGGUUUCCGCCCCUUAGUGCUGCAGCUAACGCGUUAAGCACUCCGCCUGGGGAGUACGACCGCAAGGUUGGAACUCAAAGGAAUUGACGGGGACCCGCACAAGCGGUGGAGCAUGUGGUUUAAUUCGAAGCAACGCGAAGAACCUUACCAAAUCUUGACAUCCUUUGACCACUCUAGAGAUAGAGCUUUCCCCUUCGGGGGACAAAGUGACAGGUGGUGCAUGGUUGUCGUCAGCUCGUGUCGUGAGAUGUUGGGUUAAGUCCCGCAACGAGCGCAACCCUUAAGCUUAGUUGCCAUCAUUAAGUUGGGCACUCUAGGUUGACUGCCGGUGACAAACCGGAGGAAGGUGGGGAUGACGUCAAAUCAUCAUGCCCCUUAUGAUUUGGGCUACACACGUGCUACAAUGGACAAUACAAAG